UGGUGUGUAGCUCAAAGAUAGAAUUCUUGCCUAACAUGCAUGAGGCUCUGGGUUCAAUCCCUAGCACUGCAA
rnacentral:tRNA from 1 species